UUCUGCCGGAGAAGUAGGGGCGGGGGGAAGUUUAGGAGUUGAGGAAAGAAGAUUAAAGAGCGCGAGGAGAACACCUGAUAACUUGCGAGUCUGUUGGUGCCUCAUAGCCACACAGACUGCCUGAAGUUACAUUUAGAGACUGAAAUCACUGCACCUUACAAACAAAAGAUUGAGC